rnacentral:rRNA from 1 species
GACGAACGCUGGCGGCGUGCCUAAUACAUGCAAGUAGAACGCUGAAGGAGGAGCUUGCUUCUCUGGAUGAGUUGCGAACGGGUGAGUAACGCGUAGGUAACCUGCCUGGUAGCGGGGGAUAACUAUUGGAAACGAUAGCUAAUACCGCAUAAGAGUAGAUGUCGCAUGACAUUUGCUUAAAAGGUGCAAUUGCAUCACUACCAGAUGGACCUGCGUUGUAUUAGCUAGUUGGUGAGGUAACGGCUCACCAAGGCAACGAUACAUAGCCGACCUGAGAGGGGGAUCGGCCACACUGGGACUGAGACACGGCCCAGACUCCUACGGGAGGCAGCAGUAGGGAAUCUUCGGCAAUGGACGGAAGUCUGACCGAGCAACGCCGCGUGAGUGAAGAAGGUUUUCGGAUCGUAAAGCUCUGUUGUAAGAGAAGAACGAGUGUGAGAGUGGAAAGUUCACACUGUGACGGUAUCUGACCAGAAAGGGACGGCUAACUACGUG